rnacentral:rRNA from 1 species
GACGAACGCUGGCGGCGUGCUUAACACAUGCAAGUCGAACGGAAAGGCCCUGCUUUUGUGGGGUGCUCGAGUGGCGAACGGGUGAGUAACACGUGAGUAACCUGCCCUUGACUUUGGGAUAACUUCAGGAAACUGGGGCUAAUACCGGAUAGGAGCUCCUGCUGCAUGUUUGGGGUUGGAAAGUUUCGGCGGUUGGGGAUGGACUCGCGGCUUAUCAGCUUGUUGGUGGGGUAGUGGCUUACCAAGGCUUUGACGGGUAGCCGGCCUGAGAGUGUGACCGGACACAGUGGCAGAGAGAAGGGGCCGAGUCGCACGCGGGGAAGAGGAGUGGAAUAUUGAGCAAGAGGGGCAGGAGUGAUGUAGAGAAACGGCGUGUGGGAGAACACGGCUUGGGGGGUGGAAAACGUUUGCGCAUGUGACGAAGCGGGGUGAAGGGAAAUGGUGAAAAAAGAACGGCUAAAUUAGUG